UCGAGGGGCAGCACGGUGUAGCGAUACACUGGUGGCGACCGGCGCACGGGUGAGUAACACGUGUGCAACCAACCCCGUACCGGGAGAUAACCCGCGGAAACGUGGACUAACAUCCCAUGAUACUCGAGAGCCGCAUGGCUCUAGAUUUAAAAUUCCGGUGGUACGGGACGGGCACGCGCGACAUUAGGUAGUUGGCGGGGUAAGGGCCCACCAAGCCGACGAUGUCUAGGGGUUCUGAGAGGAAGGUCCCCCACACUGGAACUGAGACACGGUCCAGACUCCUACGGGAGGCAGCAGUGAGGAAUAUUGGUCAAUGGGCGAGAGCCUGAACCAGCCAAGUCGCGUGAGGGACGAAUGGUCUAUGGCCUGUAAACCUCUUUUGUCAAGGAAGAAUAAAUCGCACGGGUGCGAUCUUGCCAGUACUUGACGAAUAAGCAUCGGCUAACUCCGUGCCAGCAGCCGCGGUAAUACGGGGGAUGCGAGCGUUAUCCGGAUUUAU
rnacentral:rRNA from 1 species